UACGUAGGGUGCGAGCGUUGUCCGGAAUUAUUGGGCGUAAAGGGCUCGUAGGCGGUUUGUCGCGUCGGGAGUGAAAACGCCGUGCUUAACACGGCGCUUGCUUUCGAUACGGGCAGACUAGAGGUAUGCAGGGGAGAACGGAAUUCCUGGUGUAGCGGUGAAAUGCGCAGAUAUCAGGGGGAACACCGGUGGCGAAGGCGGUUCUCUGGGCAUUACCUGACGCUGAGGAGCGAAAGUGUGGGGAGCGAACAGG
rnacentral:rRNA from 1 species